UAAAAAAGUUUUUGACAUUUUGACACACCAAAAUUAACAGAAAAAAAGAAAUAUUAAUCUUUAACACUAAGAACAUUUAAACUUUGUAGUAUUGAUGUACGCAACCAAUCAUCAGUUCAUCUGCUAUUUUGGUGCUGCAGACGUGAGAAUAAGACGAUCCCAAGCAUCAAACCAACACAACUAAAACCAACGACGUUGGCCUUGCAGGUCAUCUGACACCUUUCACCUUUCUUGCCAUUGGACUGCCCAAGCCGAGUUCGUACUAUAUUAAAAAAUUGAAGGCCUAGGAAGAGGUAUAGAUCCGGGUCAAGAAUUUUACUCCAAGCUAUAUGAAUUUCAAAACUUUUGUCAUGCUUCUGUUGAAGAAAAUAUUGCCAGGGAUUGUUUGUAUUGGCUACAUCUGUGGUUGAAGUUAGAGGUUAUCGAGUAUCGAGUUAAGUUUUGAGUUUGAGUUUGGUCCGACGCUGGCGUCCCUGAGAAAAUUCAUUCGUGGUCGGUCGACCGAAGGGUUUUCAUAAUUUAUCGGCACGAUACAGUGAAAAGCGGCAAGUCGGCAGCACGGGGCCAAAGUGCACGCCAUAUUCGUUUCACGCGUCGGAAUUGCUACAUCUGUUCGACUGUCGAACUGUUGGAACCCGGGAAUGA